UGACGUCAAGUCCUCAUGGCCUUUAUUGCUUAGGGCGUACACACGUGCUACAAUGGGUGGGUACAAAGAGAAGCCAACUCGCGAGAGCGCGCCAAUCUCAAAAAGCCAUCCUCAGUUCGGAUUGGAGUCUGCAACUCGACUCCAUGAAGUUGGAAUCGCUAGUAAUCGCGGAUCAGCAUGCCGCGGUGAAUACGUUCCCGGGCCUU
rnacentral:rRNA from 1 species